rnacentral:rRNA from 1 species
AAGGGCUAGAGGUGUGGUGAGAACGAAUGAAUCAUUCUUGUUUUCGGGUUUAGCUAGUUUUCCUCGUCUACUCUCCUCGAACAAGUAACUCAGUUUUGCCGGCGAUAAAGAUAGUAGGAACUAGCUCUUCGGGAGCUUAUAGACUAUUAUUGCAUACACCGGUGAGACUGAGGACUGCAGCUCGCCUUUCGGCCAUCUUCGGGCAUUCGGGCUUAGAGAUAACUGACUCUCCCACAGAUGCCCCUCCGAAGGGGCUAUGAGCUUGCUUUAGCUGGAACGCUGCUGCC